GGCUCAGAACGAACGCUGGCGGCGCGCUUAAUACAUGCAAGUCGAGCGAGAACCAGGGCUUCGGCCCUGGGGAAAGCGGCGAACGGGUGAGUAACACGUGGGUAAUCAACCCCCGACACUGGGAUAGCCCGGGGAAACCCGGAUUAAUACCGGAUGCCCCAUCCGGCCUUCGGGCCGGCUGGAAAGGGGUAGCUUCGGCCUCCGGUCGGGGACGAGCCCGCGGCGGAUUAGCUUGUUGGUGAGGUAAAGGCUCACCAAGGCGACGAUCCGUAGCUGGUCUGAGAGGACGAUCAGCCACACUGGGACUGAGACACGGCCCAGGAUCCUACGGGAGGCAGCUCUGGGAUCUUGCG
rnacentral:rRNA from 1 species